AAUUAAGGUGGCUGAAAGAUGAGGCACAGAAGGAGCAAAAUAUUGUGAGAAAGAAGAAGCUAAAAUGAUAUCAAGAAGCAACUGGAGUAGUUGUCGGAAGAACAAGAAAGACAAGAGAUACGACAUAACUGAUUUCAGAAAGUUACAAGGCAGGCAAAAUUGAUGCAACACUUACUUAAAAGUAAAAAGGAUAAUCUGUCUUCAGGGUUCACGUGUUAUGACUAACCCCAGAUUUAGCUUAUGUGAAUAAUGCCGUGGUUCCUUGGGAGGAAAUUCAAUCUGGAGUGCUCAUGUUGCUCUUGCAAUUGGCCAGGGGGUGUCAUCUGAACUUAUACGAAGGAGUAGGAUGCUAUUCUCUGACUUUCAGGACGGUGUCAAACAUAUGAUAAAGUGAAUGGGGAAGUUGCGGCAUCUCUCAUUUGAGAGCUACUGGAGAAUAAGGAGAUAGAUAAAGAAGAUGAACAUGAAAAGCUUUCAGAAAUUUGGAUUAUCUUCAUUAAAAAUUUAAAAUAGAUGUAUACCUUUUUUUUUAUUGUUUCGUUUUUCUCAAAUAUUUGUUUAGUAUUUCAACUCUCAAACAAUAACAGGAGACAGAGAAGCAAUGACACUUGGGUAAUGAUAUUAGAGAAAGCAAAGAAAUGAUUUCAUUUUGCAAGCAGGGAGGACUAGGGAUAACUGGUUAUAGUAGAGAUUUGCGAUGGAGGACAGGAAAGAAAAUGAAGCAAGUGAAACCCAAUAUUUUCUUGAUAUUAUACACUUGAUGUUAAAUUGAAAUCAGAUGGAAUGGAAAAACUCUCUUCACUGAGCCAGGUUAAUACCGACUAUGAUAGUAUGACUUUUUUCAGGGUUUAAAUCAGUAAGUGCUCUCCAUUAUGCCGUGCUCGGCUCUUGUAUUUAUUGAUGUUUCGGAAACAGUUCGUUUGGUUUGA